rnacentral:ncRNA from 1 species
ACAUUGUCAAUGCUGACAACCGGACGAGGCGCGCCGUACCCGGCCAGCGACAAGACGGCGCUCG